rnacentral:rRNA from 1 species
UACGAAGGGAGCUAGCGUUGUUCGGAAUUACUGGGCGUAAAGCGCACGUAGGCGGAUUGCUAAGUCAGGGGUGAAAUCCCGGGGCUCAACCUCGGAACUGCCUUUGAUACUGACAAUCUCGAGUCCGAUAGAGGUGGGUGGAAUUCCUAGUGGUAGAGGUGAAAUUCGUAGAUAUUAGGAAGAACACCGGUGGCGAAGGCGGCCCACUGGAUCGGUACUGACGCUGAGGUGCGAAAGCGUGGGGAGCAAACAGG